rnacentral:rRNA from 1 species
UACGAAGGGUGCUAGCGUUGUUCGGAAUUACUGGGCGUAAAGCGCGCGUAGGCGGCUUCUCAAGUCAGGGGUGAAAUCCUGGGGCUCAACCCUAGAAUUGCCUUUGAAACUGUGAAGCUGGAGUGUCGGAGGGGAUAGCGGAAUUCCUAAUGUAGAGGUGAAAUUCGUAGAUAUUAGGAGGAACACCGGUGGCGAAGGCGGCUAUCUGGACGACAACUGACGCUGAGGCGCGAAAGCGUGGGGAUCAAACAGG